AAUUGUCACUGUUCUCUUUAUUUGUUCAUUGACAAAUGUUUCUGGAAUAUCUACCACGUGACAGGCACUGACUACAGCUCCAAAACCAGAAAGGUAAAUAAGAAAUGUUCCCUGCCCUGAAGAACACCCUGUCCUGUGGGAUACAAAGUGAACAGACAUGUCCCACAGGAGGUAGCAAGUGUCAUCACAGGGGAAUCACAGGCCCAUGUGUCAUCUGAGGAAGAGCAGAAAUGCUUUCAGGAAGAGGUUCUACCCAAUCAGAUCUUGCCAAGGAUCAGGAUCAUUCUUUACCUCAAAUUAUGUUCUCCCAAUCUAUCCAGCAAAGCCAAAGGAACUUGGAGAUCUGGUGCCUGCACUUCAGCUGACAUGGCUGUGCUCUGGGCCAGGAGCCCCUCCCUCUGGCACUCUCUUCCAGGCAGUCCCUCGCAUUUCCCAGAACCGGGAAAACAGGAAGCGCCACUUACAUUAGGCGUUUCGUUUCUGGCCUUCAGGAGCGCAGUAUAUUGGAGAUACAAGCUAUUAAAUGAUAACAUUCUCUAAGAAGCCCAGAGCUUUACUAAAAACCACCCUCCUGAAGUCUAUCCAGUUUGUAGCACUUCUUUUACGGAAACAUGCCUGAUUAUUUCAUUAUUUCUUAAACUAAUAAACUCUGGAGCAUUCAUGUGUAGGGGUCUUGGAAACAAGAUUUGAACAGGAA